UUUUGUUGGAGAGUUUGAUCCUGGCUCAGGACGAACGCUGGCGGCGUGCUUAACACAUGCAAGUCGAGCGGAAAGGCCCUUUCGGGGGUACUC
rnacentral:rRNA from 1 species